rnacentral:rRNA from 1 species
CACAUGCAAGUCGAACGAGCGAGAGAGAGCUUGCUUUCUCAAGCGAGUGGCGAACGGGUGAGUAACGCGUGAGGAACCUGCCUCAAAGAGGGGGACAACAGUUGGAAACGACUGCUAAUACCGCAUAAGCCCACGACCCGGCAUCGGGUUGAGGGAAAAGGAGUAAUCCGCUUUGAGAUGGCCUCGCGUCCGAUUAGCUAGUUGGUGAGGUAACGGCCCACCAAGGCGACGAUCGGUAGCCGGACUGAGAGGUUGAACGGCCACAUUGGGACUGAGACACGGCCCAGACUCCUACGGGAGGCAGCAGUGGGGAAUAUUGCACAAUGGGGGAAACCCUGAUGCAGCGACGCCGCGUGGAGGAAGAAGGUCUUCGGAUUGUAAACUCCUGUUGUUGGGGAAGAUAAUGACGGUACCCAACAAGGAAGUGACGGCUAACUACGUGCCAGCAGCCGCGGUAAAACGUAGGUCACAAGCGUUGUCCGGAAUUACUGGGUGUAAAGG